CCUACGGGAGGCAGCAGUGGGGGAUAUUGGACAAUGGGGGAAACCCUGAUCCAGCAACGCCGCGUGAGUGAAGACGGUUUUCGGAUUGUAAACCUCUGUCCUCAGUGAAGAUGAUGACGGUAGCAGAGGAGGAAGCUCCGGCUAACUACGUGCCAGCAGCCGCGGUAAUACGUAGGGAGCAAGCGUUGUCCGGAUUUACUGGGUGUAAAGGGAGCGUAGGCGGCUGCACAAGUCUGAAGUGAAAUCCAUGGGCUUAACCCAGGAACUGCUUUUGAAACUGCAGAGCUAGAGUGGAGUAGAGGUAGGCGGAAUUCCCGGUGUAGCGGUGAAAUGCGUAGAGAUCAGGAGGAACACCAGUGGCGAAGGCGGCCUGCUGGACUCUAACUGACGUUGAGGCUCGAAAGCGUGGGGAGCAAACAGGAUUAGAUACCCGUGUAGUC
rnacentral:rRNA from 1 species